GACGAACGCUGGCGGCGCGCCUAACACAUGCAAGUCGAACGAGCGAGAGAGAGCUUGCUUUCUCGAGCGAGUGGCGAACGGGUGAGUAACGCGUGAGGAACCUGCCUCAAAGAGGGGGACAACAGUUGGAAACGACUGCUAAUACCGCAUAAGCCCACGGUGCCGCAUGGCACAGAGGGAAAAGGAGCAAUCCGCUUUGAGAUGGCCUCGCGUCCGAUUAGCUAGUUGGUGAGGUAACGGCCCACCAAGGCAACGAUCGGUAGCCGGACUGAGAGGUUGAACGGCCACAUUGGGACUGAGACACGGCCCAGACUCCUACGGGAGGCAGCAGUGGGGAAUAUUGCACAAUGGGGGAAACCCUGAUGCAGCGACGCCGCGUGGAGGAAGAAGGUCUUCGGAUUGUAAACUCCUGUUGUUGGGGAAGAUAAUGACGGUACCCAACAAGGAAGUGACGGCUAACUACGUGCCAGCAGCCGCGGUAAGCUAGUCUACG
rnacentral:rRNA from 1 species